GACGAACGCUGGCGGCGUGCUUAACACAUGCAAGUCGAACGGAAAGGCCCUGCUUUUGUGGGGUGCUCGAGUGGCGAACGGGUGAGUAACACGUGAGUAACCUGCCCUUGACUUUGGGAUAACUUCAGGAAACUGGGGCUAAUACCGGAUAUGAGCUCCUGCUGCAUGGUGGGGGUUGGAAAGUUUCGGCGGUUGGGGAUGGACUCGCGGCUUAUCAGCUUGUUGGUGGGGUAGUGGCUUACCAAGGCUUUGACGGAUAGCCGGCCUGAGAGGGUGGCCGGCGACAUUGGGACUGAGAUACGGCGCAGACUGCUACGGGAGGCAGCAGUGGGGAAUAUGGCACAAUGGGCGGAAGCCUGAUGCAGCAACGCCGCGUGCGGGAUGACGGCCUUCGGGUUGUAAACCGCUUUCGCCUGUGACGAAGAGUGAGUGACGGUAAUGGGUAAAGAAGCACCGGCUAACUACGUG
rnacentral:rRNA from 1 species